AGGUCCAGGGGCUUCUCCCGNUUUUAAGAGAGAACGGGAGAAGA
rnacentral:tRNA from 1 species